GACGUAGGGCGCGAGCGUUGUCCGGAUUUAUUGGGCGUAAAGAGCUCGUAGGUGGCUUGUCGCGUCGAAUGUGAAAUCUCGGGGCUCAACUCCGAGCUUGCAUUCGAUACGGGCAGGCUAGAGUUCGGUAGGGGAGACUGGAAUUCCUGGUGUAGCGGUGAAAUGCGCAGAUAUCAGGAGGAACACCGGUGGCGAAGGCGGGUCUCUGGGCCGAUACUGACGUGAGGAGCGAAAAGCGUGGGGGAGCGAACAGG
rnacentral:rRNA from 1 species